rnacentral:rRNA from 1 species
ACUUUAAUUAAUUUAAGUCUAAUCUGCCCACUGAAAUUUUUUGAAGGGCCGCAGGAAUAUUGUGCAAAGGUAGCAUAGUAAAUAGUCUUUUAAUUGGGGACUAGAAUGAAUGAUUGGACGAAAUAUUAACUGUUUCUUUUUUAGAAAUUAAAUUUAUUUUUUUAGUAAAAAAACUAAAAUUACCUAGAAAGACGAGAAGACCCUUUAGAUCUUUAUAUAUAAAAAUAAAAAAUUUAUUGGAGUAUAUUUAAUUGGGGUGAUUAAAAAAUUUGUGUAACUUUUAGGGAAAAAAACAUUUAUGUAUGAAUUAUUUAUUAUUAGCUAUUUUUAUAAAUUAAUAUUAAGAUACCUUAGGGAUAACAGCGUAAUUUUAAUUUUUAGUUCUUAUAGAAAUUAAAGAUUGCGACCUCGAUGUUGGAUUAAAAUUAAUUUAAAAUGCAGAUGUUGUAAAUUUUAGGUCUGUUCGACCUUUGAAAUUUUACGUGAUCUG